GUCACGCUGUCAUAUCAAACCAACGUAAGCUCGUUCAUCACCGAUCAACUUGUAAACACGACGAACAAACUGCUGGCUGUAAAAUAUUGCUGCAUUUUUGAUCACUUGUCAUCCCUGCAUGAUGGACGAUCGUAGCAGAACACAGCAGAAUAUCUCAUUGGAGAACCUGUGGCCAGUGCCUCACCAGAUGCCCCCAUUUCCUGGGGACCCUUCGCCCGGCAGUUAUAAGAACUAAGAAACAGCUCCACUUCUUCAGUGGCAGUCUUCGGAGUCGGAGUCUGAGGAGAAUUCCGCAGAACCUGUUGACAACACUUGUGCGACAAGCGAAACGAUCUCGCUUUUUGCCUCCGCUAUUUAUUAUGUUUACUAGUGCCUUCGGCCGGCGAUUUGAUGGUGGAAAAAAGUGCUGGCCGAGGUGUCGAUAUCGCACAAUGAUUUUAAUGAUGGGAUCGAACCGAACCGAAACCGCUGGGCGCACAAAAAACACUGGGACGCGGUCUGUUGCAGCAAAUCGCUGAGAUGCCAAUGCUGAUAAUCAAUAAUUUUUAUAUUUUUAUAUUUUUGCCACAUCGCCGGUCGGCUUUGCAAUCCAGCUCAAAGGAGGACUCGAGCAGCUCGGAUACUUGCUGUGUCAGCUCACCCCUUGGACCCCAGUCAAAGGACAUGACAAUAAUCCUUAAUUACAGCUCACCCAGAGCCAGUGAAAUUCGAAUCAUAAUUGGAGUUCAAUGAGUCAAGCACAAUUGUGGGAUUUUCCUUGAAAGGUGGAGACUUAUGCUUACUUUUUAUUUUUACGAGGGAAGCUAAGAUACGGUUAUUUCUUGGAAUAGCUCGUUUUAAGGUUCUGGCACUUCCAAAGAAAUCUAAGUUCAUAAAUCAAGUGUAAGAUUGUUUUUGAUAAGCCAAGUGGUUCUGCAAUGCUUGUGGAAAUAUAAUCAUUUCUAAACACA